UUUUAUUUCGAAGGUAUUUGGAAAGGAGGCUGUUCCCGUUGCACUCCUGACGGGCUCCGCAUCCCCGGGCCACCCCUAAGCGUCCAAACGGUCCCCAGGGCUCACCAGGUGCACUGCGCUGUGGCACCGCCAGCCGACCCGGGAGACGCACAGCCCGCGCCCUUCCCCGGUCACCCCAGGGCAAGAGGGGAACGAGGGCUCUGUGGACGCCGAGGACGGCCAAGGGCUACGCGGUCUCCGACACCACACAGCACCCCCAGGACAGCACCACGGAGGGCGCGGGAGGCACACAGGGGCCGGAGAGUCCCGGCCCGGCGCGCCCGUGCACCUGCCCCACCACGGCGAGGGCUGGGGGCGCCUCCCAGGGCCGCAGUCGUCGGGGGUCACCCGGCCCUCCCUCCCGGAGCCCGGCGGGGAGGGGGCGGCCACCUGCCGCUGCCACCUGCGGCACCCGUCCCGCCGCUCCUGGCUGGGUGGGCAGGACAGGACAGGACCUCGGUCCGGGCCGGGGGCGGGACCCUCUGGGCGGAGGGGGACCCGGGCCACCAAGGCGACGACGGCAGCGCGUCCUCCCUCUCAGAGGGGCAGUCCUGCGCCCCUGCGCUCGGACCCCUGAACCCCCAUGCUGGCUCGCCGGACCCGAGAAGACGACGCAACGGAGACGGAGAGGACCAGGCGGCCAGCGCGGCGCCUACUCACCCGCUCCGCUCAGGUCCCGCGGCGCCGCCGCAGCCGCAGCAGCCGCGCUCCCGGCGCUCCCAGAUGCUGAGCGAAAGGUCCCCGGGAACCGACCGGCGCCUCCCCGAACCGCCUGCAGGGGGCGGGCGCGAGCCGGCGCAGGGCUCCCUGGGAGAUGUAGUCCAGAGGCCUCUGCAUCUUCACCCUCGGCCGCUCUCCAUCCGCCGGCCGCUGAUGGUCUUUCCUUUCCCCGAGCUUCUCCUGUUUCUGUCAACAGCUUACCUCCGCCUCCGACUAAUAAAUGUUAGAGCGCCCCACCCGAGCCGUGCGCCCCCUCUCCUCCCUCUAGAUCAGUGGUUCUCAAGAUGUGGUACCCAGACCAGCAGCUUCAGCAUCAUCUGGGAACCUGGUAGAAAUUCUUCAUCCUAG
rnacentral:lncRNA from 1 species